rnacentral:rRNA from 1 species
GAUGAACGCUGACCGAAUGCUUAACACAUGCAAGUCUACUUGAAUUUGGGUUUUUUAACUUAGAUUUGGGUGGCGGACGGGUGAGUAACGCGUAAAGAACUUGCCUCACAGCUAGGGACAACAUUUGGAAACGAAUGCUAAUACCUGAUAUUAUGAUUAUAAGGCAUCUUAGAAUUAUGAAAGCUAUAUGCGCUGUGAGAGAGCUUUGCGUCCCAUUAGCUAGUUGGAGAGGUAACGGCUCACCAAGGCGAUGAUGGGUAGCCGGCCUGAGAGGGUGAACGGCCACAAGGGGACUGAGACACGGCCCUUACUCCUACGGGAGGCAGCAGUGGGGAAUAUUGGACAAUGGACCAAGAGUCUGAUCCAGCAAUUCUGUGUGCACGAUGACGUUUUUCGGAAUGUAAAGUGCUUUCAGUUGGGAAGAAAAAAAUGACGGUACCAACAGAAGAAGUGACGGCUAAAUACGUG